UACGGAGGGUGCAAGCGUUAUCCGGAAUCACUGGGUUUAAAGGGUGCGUAGGCGGUUUGAUAAGUCAGUGGUGAAAGCUUCCCGCUCAACGGGAGAAUUGCCAUUGAUACUGUCAGACUUGAAUCAAUACGAGGCAGGCGGAAUGUGACAUGUAGCGGUGAAAUGCUUAGAUAUGUCAUAGAACACCGAUUGCGAAGGAAGCCUGCCAGGUUUGCAUUGACGAUGAGGCACGAAAGCGUGGGGAGCGAACAGG
rnacentral:rRNA from 1 species